CUAUGAUUCGUUUCGUAGCCCAUGUAGCGGCCAUUGUCGAUCUCCACACUGUAAAAGUUCACGUCGUUCGGCGGCGCUGGGCUGGGGUUUCCGAUGUAACUCGAUUUUGAAACUAAAACGAAGAGAAGUUGUGUUGACUUUGAGUUCUGAAGAACUUCUGACAAGGCUGCUGAAGGAAUUCUACGUUCGAAGGAUAAGAUCUUCUAAAAUUUCUGGAUGGGAACUUUAAGAAAUUUACCAGAAAGUGUACCACUGGCCGUUGUUCUCUGCGGCGGUGAAUCCAUACUCAUCGGUGGUUGAAUGUGGUUGCUACGGCGACCAAGAGUUCCUUGAUGAUGUACCUGCAUCUCCAUGUUCCCUUUCCCAAAAUCUUGUAUAGUUUGAUCUAUCAAAUACGUGCUAGCUGCGGUUUUUCGUCCCUCGUCCUGUUACGUCGGUGAAAGAGAAGAGAGAAAGUGUUUCGUUAAAUUAAACGUAUCCAGAGUUAAGGAAAACCUGAAAUUUUUCUAUGAAAUUAUUAACGAAUAAAUGCAACAAAACGAAUCAUUAAUCGAACAAUUUCCUGGAAUUUUGUGUUCCUACUGUUCGUAGCGUAUCAGUAUGAAUUGUAAAUAAGUACUUUACCAGUUUCACAUGCAUUAAAGCGAUACUUUGCGCUGCUGUAUCGACAUUAACUUCAUCAUUCUGAUACAUUACGAGUAUUCUCGGUAUGUUUUACGUGCAUGGAAACUACCUCUAAACAUCCACCCUGUAACCUGCCUAUAUUUAAGGGUACUGCAAGAAAUGAAGUUAAGAUUCUCUUAAAAAUUGAAAUAUUAUUGGUAGAGUUCUGAUUCAAACAAAUUCGCACUACAUGGUGAAGCUUUAAAGAAAGAUUCUCUAAUCGUGAAACAAGCUAAGAUGUAAUAUUAAAAGAAGAAAAAAAAAGUAGAACUACGUGUUGAAGCAUAAAAAAAAAUUGUCUAAUAGUGAAACAAAGUAAAAUAUGAUAUUGAAGGAAAGAAAAAAAAAAAAAAGAAAGACUACCAAUCUACAUGA